AUUGAACGCUGGCGGCAGGCCUAACACAUGCAAGUCGAGCGGAUGACGGGAGCUUGCUCCUUGAUUCAGCGGCGGACGGGUGAGUAAUGCCUAGGAAUCUGCCUGGUAGUGGGGGAUAACGUCCCGAAACGGGCGCUAAUACCGCAUACGUCCUGAGGGAGAAAGCGGGGGAUCUUCGGACCUCACGCUAUCAGAUGAGCCUAGGUCGGAUUAGCUAGUUGGUGGGGUAAUGGCCUACCAAGGCGACGAUCCGUAACUGGUCUGAGAGGAUGAUCAGUCACACUGGAACUGAGACACGGUCCAGACUCCUACGGGAGGCAGCAGUGGGGAAUAUUGGACAAUGGGCGAAAGCCUGAUCCAGCCAUGCCGCGUGUGUGAAGAAGGUCUUCGGAUUGUAAAGCACUUUAAGUUGGGAGGAAGGGUAGUAAGUUAAUACUCUGCUGUUUUGACGUUACCAACAGAAUAAGCACCGGCUAACUUCGUG
rnacentral:rRNA from 1 species